CGUGAGAUGUUGGGUUAAGUCCCGCAACGAGCGCAACCCCUAUUGUUAGUUGCUACGCAAGAGCACUCUAGCGAGACUGCCGUUGACAAAACGGAGGAAGGUGGGGACGACGUCAAAUCAUCAUGCCCCUUAUGACCUGGGCUACACACGUAAUACAAUGGCGGUCAACAAAGGGAUGCAAAGCCGCGAGGCAGAGCGAACCCCAAAAGCCGUCCCAGUUCGGAUCGCAGGCUGCAACCCGCCUGCG
rnacentral:rRNA from 1 species